rnacentral:rRNA from 1 species
CCUACGGGGGGCAGCAGUGAGGAAUAUUGGUCAAUGGUCGGGAGACUGAACCAGCCAAGCCGCGUGAGGGAUGAAGGUCCAGAGUAUCGUAAACCUCUUUUGUCAGGGAACAAAGGCGGGGACGCGUCCCCGGCUGAGUGUACCUGACGAACAAGCAUCGGCUAACUCCGUGCCAGCAGCCGCGGUAAUCCGGGGGAUUCGAGGGUUAUCGGGAUUUAUUGGGUUUAAAGGGUGCGCGGGCGGUCUGUUAAGUCCGCGGUCAAAGCCCGGGGCUCAACCCCGGCCCGCCGUUGAAACUGGCAGUCUCGAGUUGGAGAGAAGUAUGCGGAAUGCGCGGUGUAGCGGUGAAAUGCAUAG